rnacentral:lncRNA from 1 species
CAGAGGGCUGGGAAGUUGGCCUACAAGGGCCAGGAGUAACUCCACACAUUCUUCCCACACCAAACCCCACACCUCUCUUAACAUUUCCUAAACUGCAUCCUUUAAAAGCUGGCAAAUUUUAAGUCAGGUAGUCCCAUCUGUCUGUGAGCUGUUGUGGCAAAUUAAAUCUUUGAGAACGAACCUCCAGGUGCUAACCUGGUUGGUGAGAGUACAGGUCGUCCCUGCAAGUCCUUCACUACAGCAGUGUAGGGUUGGGCAGCCUCGUGUGACUGAAGUCUUGCAGAGUCUGCAAAAUCCAGUUUGCUUUUAAUGACUUGAAUCCUUCGAUACCCAGCUUUUCAUUUCUAGCUUCCCCUGUGUUGAGAACCAACGCUCCAAGUCCCCAGCUGAGCCGCAUGCAGAUGACUCCAGUUAACUUUGCCAUAGCUAACACGUCUUGUUCUUAACAUUGCUUUUCAGGAACUUGGUCGUGCCAGCCAGUUGGAAACAUUGACCCGUCUUCCCUUCGGAUUGUGGCAGAUAGGAUGGGUCAGUGGAUAAGUUUGCUUGCCAAGGAGCCUGAGAGAGAAGCCUGAGUCCAGUUCCUAGAACUCACAUGGUGGAGAGAACUGACUUCUGAAAGUUGUCCUCUGAUAUUCACCAGGGCGACCAGAAAAUUUUGUUCCAUGUGAGGCUUGCACAAGCUCCAGUGUUACAGUUCCACGAACCAGAGUUAUUUUAGAUAACCAGGACUUCUGCUGGAUUCGAACCUCGAAAGUGUUGUGUUUCCCUACCUCUAAAAGCAGACUGCUUCCUUGUUAUCCUGGGUGGCAGGGCCUGAGUUCUCUUUCCUUGUCUGGAUGUACUGCAGGCUAUCUCCCCUCAUCUAGGGUUGAAGCCAACCUGGAAAGCUCUCUUCUGACUCCUAUCAUCUAUCCUAUCCUGGCUCACCCAGCUCUCAGACUCUACUACAAGGAUUCCUUUUGAAUGAAACAAAC